UUCAUAUCCCAUGCCUUCACUGUCUCUGCAGAAGCUGCAGUAUAUUGAACCACUCCUUUGCCAUCUCCAGAUUUCACUAAAUAAAUAGAAGGCCCUACAUGGAUAAGCAUAGCAACUGAACAGUCUGCAAAUUAUAUGCACAGGCUCCUUCCUCAGUAUGAAGUGGAAAAUGGACCCUUUCUUGGGAACAACGAUGAAGUUAUCACUGUGGUCUGCUGAUUCCCCCAUCCAUAUUUUGUUGUUAUAAAGACAAGGCACACAUCUGUACAUCCAAUUGGUCGUGCUCUAGACACAUAGGUAUGGGCUCAUGCAAUGCAACAUGGCAAUCUACCAGUGGCCACACUCAGAGAAAAAUGACCAUCCUUCCCAGCUAUUGUCAACUGCCAGCAGAUCCUAGGAUAGGGGUGAGGUCCUGUGAGUCCCUCAUCCAUCCACACUGGAGUUCUUGACUGGCUUGAUCCUCUGUCGGUUGUACAUGAACAAUCACCGCGGUUGUGAGCUCGGGGACGCAACAGCCACACCAUGUCUGAAGGCACCAUCUCAUCAUGCCCCUUUCCAUCUCCUGCUCUCACAUUUGUUUUCCUCGCUGCUUUCAUUGUGCCCUCCGAACGUGGGGAGCAUGCUGGCACAGAUGUCACAGUGAGGGCUGAGCAUACCCAGUCACUUAUUCUCAACACUCUGACAAGUUACAAGACUGCAUUACCUGCUGUCUGUUACACAGUGAAGCUUUUCUGAGUACAGAUUUAAUAAUAAUUUAGGAAUUCAUAUUACAAUUCUGAAAAAAAGAAAGAAAUAUGGGCAACAAUGAGUCUGUCCUGUAUAGAACUGUCAAUGAUGCUGAGGACUGGAGUCCCCAGAGCCUUCCUGGUUAUCCAGGCUCAGCGGUACACACCCAGAGGGAAGGCACAUCUCCUAAGGUGAAGGGUGAUGAGGUCAAAUUUGAACAAAGGAAAAGGUCUUGGUUUUG